GGGCUUGUACUGGUUUCGACGGGGGUCUCGCAGCUGGUGAAGCUAUCCGCAGGCGAUGCGUCAAAUCGCAAACCUAAAUAUAAACGCUGAAGAUAAUUUAGCAUACGCUGCCUAAUGGCAGCUGUCGGCCUUAGGGCACCUGCACCUUAAGAGUCCGGCAUCGACGAUGCAGGAAACGACAUGCGUUAAGCUUUGCGCGCAUGGGCGUAUGAUGAAGCUACUGAAGCUGUCAGGGUGUCCGUUCCCGGGCAGCGGAGGGAAUGUCAAAUAACUGACUAUGAUAGUAGAAGAACAGGGAACAGGCUUUCGGACGCGGGUUCGAUUCCCGCCAGGUCCAUAA
rfam:Lachnoclostridium sp. An131 An131_contig_7, whole genome shotgun sequence.